GCGGAUGUGGCGGAAUUGGCAGACGCGCAGGCUUCAGGUGCCUGUGGGCUUAGGCUCGUGGAGGUUCGACUCCUCUCAUCCGCA
rnacentral:tRNA from 1 species